rnacentral:rRNA from 1 species
UACGUAGGAGGCAAGCGUUGUCCGGAAUCACUGGGCGUAAAGAGCGUGUAGGCGGCCAUGCAGGUCCGCUGUGAAAACUCGAGGCUCAACCUCGAGACGUCGGUGGAAACCGUGUGGCUAGAGUCCGGAAGAGGAGGGUGGAAUUCCCGGUGUAGCGGUGAAAUGCGCAGAUAUCGGGAAGAACACCCGUGGCGAAGGCGGCUCUCUGGGACGGUACUGACGCUGAGACGCGAAAGCGUGGGGAGCGAACAGG